rnacentral:lncRNA from 1 species
AUGCAUAUGUAUAUAGUUAUAUUAUAUAUAUGUGUGUGUAAAUAAAUUAAAUUAAAAAGAUAAAAUACAAAUAAAAGAAAUUAAUUUGAGUUGUUUGCCGCAGGAAAUGAUUAGCACUCGGGCAGAUUGAUUGCCUUGAUUUGCACCACUCACCAUUCCAAGUUGUGGCUAGGACCAAGCCACAUGGUGAGUUGCUGUGAUGACCAACUAGGUGUCAAGAAAACUGGCCAUCUUUGCCAGUUGUGGUCGGCCAUCCAACAUAUCAAUGUUUGGGACACCGUGCAUGUGUUUGGACCAUUGAGAUGUUGGGUAAAUUUAGAUAAAGGCUUCCUUCUCUUCAAAACUUCAUCUUCAUCUUCUUCAAACCCAAAAUUCCAGUUAAACAAGUGAAUGAGAGGGAAGAUUGAGAGCAAAAGAUAGUAUAGAGAGAGAGACGCACCAGAAUAGAACACAUGUUUUAUGUGAGUAUCAGAGGAGAAAUUGCUUCUUCUUGAUAAGAUGAGUCAUUUUUUCCUCUUCUGAUUUAUUCUUUUUAAUUCUUUGGUGUCAUAAGACAUUUCUAUUUGGAAGAUUAACUAUUAAAUUAUUGCUGCAAGUCCCAGAACUUAGAACAAUAGCUGCUACACUUGAACGACGCCUCUGUUUAAGUAGGCAUCUGUUCUCUAUUCCAACUCAUUUUCUAUUUUAUUUUUUUUUUACAAAUUCAUAAUCAAUCAUUAGGAUAACGUGUUAGAAAUGUUAGAAUUUAUUUUUUAGUAGUAAAACAAAUCACAAACACGAAUCUAUCUUGAAAACAUCACUCAACUUAGCAUGCAUAAUCAUACUAAACUGUAGAGAAAAAUCUUCAAAUUUUCAACAAUUCCUUCACGCGAUUUAGCUUAUGUCUUGUGCAGUUAUUAAGUAAGAUAGGUAAUAUUUUAGAUUAUACAAAAAUAGCCUUUAUAUAUUAAUUUGCAUGUGGUAAACUCUUUCAAAAAUUAAAACUAACCCGGUGUUUUAAAUAGAUAGAGUGAGUAAUUGUCAUUUGCAUUUUUUUAGUGAUUUUUAUUUACUAAUUUUAUGAGUUUUAACAUUUAAUUAUUAUAUUAAUUCAGUAUAAAUUAAAUGACGAAUAAUUAUUAGAGAAACUGGAAAGAAAAUGACAAAAAACAAAAGUUCAUUUGUUUCUUCUAAGAAUGUCGGACACCAAAGUGCCUUGUGGUUAUGCAGCCCUAUUCUGCAGUACUAGUUCACAUAAGAGACAUUUUUCUGGGUACCCAGAAUUGCUUAAGACUUCUCUAGCAUGGUGUAGAAAAGAAAAUGUCAGAGGGUGCAAAGCUGAUCUGGGCAUCUGUGAAUGCAAAAGAUGGAAAGCUAGCAGUAUGCCACUACAGAGUCUAUUUCCCUUGCGCCAGUUGCUUGUGCAAUAGGCUAGCAGGCCAUGCUGGCUGGACUGGCAUGAAAUCAGUGAACCACAUUUAACUAAAUAUUGUGUUAUUUGAGUUUUAAACCCUUUAAUAAUUUCUUAAAUUUAAUAUGAUUUUUUAUUCCUUAUUUAAUUUACUAAUAUGUAAAAUUAUUAUAAUUUAAUUACUUCAAUGAUUAUUUUUUAUACUUAGACUUUUAUUGUAAUUAAUUAUGUUAUUUUGUUUACUUCAAUUUUUAAUUCUAUUCCUUUUUUAUUAAUUUAAAAAUUUAUUUUAUCUAAAUUUAAAUUUUACUUUAUUUUUAUUUUUAGUUUUAUUUUUAUUUUACUGCCAGUAUCACAAUUACCUUACCCAAUUUCCAUCUCGUAUUAUACUUAACCAUUUUCUAAUUUAACUUUUACAAAUUUCCAUUUUUUUCGAAUUUUUAUUAAUUUUUCUUUCUUAGUUCUUCCCAAAGACCCCAAUCUCUCCAGCUGUCCAGCCCAUGGGAAAGUCCCCAUACUGGGCUCGUGGCUUAGUGAGCUUCCAUGAAGGCCCCUCAGCAUGAUUUCAUGCCUAUUGGGCCAGCAUGGCCCUUUGGCCUGUUGUAUAGGCAACUGGCCCAAGAAAAGCAGACUGUGCAGUGGCACACUUCGAGCUUUCUGUCUUUGGCAUUCAUGGAUGCUCGGGUCAUCUCUACACCCUCCGGUUUGGCAUAUGCAUUUCUUCACAAUGCCAGAGACGUCCCAAGCCAUUAUGGGUGCUCGGAAAAACAUCUCUUCUGAGAACUAGUACUAUAGAACAGUGCUGCAUAAUCACUGGGCACUUUGGUGCCCGGCACUCUUAACAAAAAGAUAUGAGCUUCUAUUUUUUGUCCCUUUCUUCCUAGUUUUGCUAAUAUUUAUUCGUCAUUUAAUUUGUACUAAAUUAAUAUUAUAAUUAAAUGUUAAAACAUAAAAAGUCAGUAAAAAAAAUUAACACAAAAAUACAAAUGACACUCACUUACUCUAACAAUUUAAAACACAACUUAAUUUUGAUUUUUAAAAGAGCUUACCAUCGUAAAUUAAUCUAUGAAGCCAUUUUUGUAUAAUCUGAAAUGUCAACCGUCUUACCUGAUAAAUGCAUAAGAUAGAAGCUAAAUUACACGAAAAAAUUGUUGAAAUAUCGAAAAUUCUUCUCUGCAGCUCAGUAUGACUAUGCAUAUAGAGUUGAGUGAUGUUUUGGGUUAGAUUCGGAUUUGUGAUUUAUUUUACUAUUUGAAAAUAAAUUCUAACAUUCCUAACACGUUGUCCUAAUGAUUAAUUAUGAAUUUAUAAAAAAAAAACGAAACAGAAAAAAAAUUGAAAUAGAAAACAGAACCCUACCUAAACAAAGUGGUCAUUCAGGUACAGCAGCUACUGUUCUGAGUUUUGGGACUUGCAGCAGCAAUUUAAGAGUUAAUUUUCCAAAUAAAAUUAGUCUUAGAACACCAAAGAACUAAAAUGAACAAAUUAGAAGAGGAAAAAAUGACUCACCUUCUCAAAAAGAAGUGAUUUCUCCUUUGAUACGCAUACAGAGCACGCGUUAUAUUCUGGUGCAUCACUCUCUCUCUCUUUUUCUACUAUUUUAUGCUCCCAACCUUCCCACUCACUCACUUGUUUAACUAGAAUUUUUUGUUUAAAGAAGAUUAAGACGAAGUUGUGAAGAGAAUGACGCUUUUAACUAAAUUUAACCUAUUAUCUGACGGUCUAAAUGCAUACACGACAUGAUAGUCGUUGAUAUGUUGGAUCGCGGACCACAACUGGGAAAGAUGGUUGGUUUUCAUGACACCUAGCCGGUCAUCAUAGCAGCUCACCAUGUGGCUCGGUCCUAGCCACAACUUGGGUCGGUGAGUGGUGUCAAAUCAGGGGCAACCAAUCUUCCCCCGAGUGUUGAUCAUUGCUGGCGGCAAACUAUUUAAAUUAAUUUCUUUAUUUGUAUUUAUUUUUAAAAAAUUUAUGUUGUUUACAUACACAUAUUUAUAAUAUGC